UCAGAUCGCCAGUCCAAGGACUCCCUGUCUUCAGCAGUUUGCACACAGCCAUGGCAAUGAAUUGUUAGCCCCGUGUGCAGAGCUCCCCUCCCCUCCUCGCUGAAGCAGGCUGGGUUGUGAGUGAGACAGACAAGCAACAUCACAAAUUCUCAGAGCUGAAAAUACUUCGUUGUUUUCCCCAUAGAACAACUUUUUCUAAAGAGGGUCUCGCUGGCCUUGAACUCACAGUGAUCCUCCUGCCUCAGCCUCCCGAGUGCUGGGAUUACAAGUGUGCACCACCGCUCCUGGCACCUAAAACAACUUCUGGGCCGGGGAUUUAGCUCAGUGGCACCGAGCCUGCCUCGAAAGCGAAAGGUCCUGAGUUCAAUCCCCAGAACCAAAAAAAACCCAAAGAACAACAACAGAAAAACUCCAAAACAACUUCUAAGAUCAUAUGCACCAAGUAUCCUGUAGACUUCAUUACACACCCAUGAGAAAACGAAUGUGGAGACGAAACAAGCCCAACAUGACGGUGCAUGCCUGUAAUCCCAGGCAUGGCAGGACUGCAAAUUUGAGCCAGCCUGGACAAUUUAGUGAGUUUGUUUCAAAACAAAAUGAAAAGGGUUGGAGAUGCAGCUCAGUGGUAGAGCAUUUGUCUAGCAUGCAUGGUGGUGGUGGUGGUGGUGGUGUGAAAGUUUAGAACUUUGAUGAAAAUGUCUUUUACUGUAAGGACCCUGUGAAAUGAUUUCAAAAGAGAAACCUCAUUAGCAUUUCCGCUGUCUCUCCUGUGGUGAGCGCAUCAUGUGGUGAAUCCUGAGUGCACAUGCACAUGUCAAACUGUGCCCUGAGGAUAAAGCAAGUUCUAAUGUAUGGGGAAAGGAUUAAAUAUUUGUUUUCUGAAAA